UUAGCUAGUUGGUAAGGUAAUGGCUUACCAAGGCAACGAUCAGUAGUUGGUCUGAGAGGACGACCAGCCACACUGGGACUGAGACACGGCCCAGACUCCUACGGGAGGCAGCAGUGGGGAAUUUUGGACAAUGGGCGAAAGCCUGAUCCAGCCAUGCCGCGUGAGUGAAGAAGGCCUUCGGGUUGUAAAGCUCUUUCAGUCGGAAAGAAACGAUUGCAACUAAUAAUUGUAAUUAAUGACGGUACCGACAGAAGAAGCACCGGCUAACUACGUGCCAGCAGCCGCGGUAAUACGUAGGGUGCGAGCGUUAAUCGGAAUUACUGGGCGUAAAGGGUGCGCAGGCGGUUCUGUAAGUCAGAUG
rnacentral:rRNA from 1 species